rnacentral:lncRNA from 1 species
UGCCUAGUAUACAACUUAGUAUUUCUCUAAGUAUGGAUCACUUAGCUCACUUAAACUGCCAUGAACCUAAAAACUUUGUGGGUUGCAAGUGCUAGAACUAAGUCUAAGUUGUUGUGGGACAUGAGAUAGUAAGACAAGAGCUACUAUAAUAUUUUUCUAAGCAUGCAUGAUUAUCAGAGAUUUAUUCUUAAAAUGAUCAAAACCUUAAUUGUUCCUCAAUGGUGAUGAAUUCCUACCACAGCCAUAUCUACUUUACAUAAUUGCAACCUUUCCACAUAAGCUAUUUGCUUUGUGUUGAGUGUCGUCAAGUCUUGUUGACCCUUGUUAAGAGACUUUUCAUGCUCCUAAGAUCAAGAUCACGUACACACCACAUAUAUAUAUGCUGCUUCUACACUGGAAGUACGCAACCACAUGUAUUUCGCAUCCACUAAAUAGGUUGCUCCAUACUCUAAAUGGUAGAACAUCUCUCUAAGCAUUAUUUGGUAAAUGAGACAUCAAAAGGGCUAGGCAAAAUGAAAUAAAAAGAUGGACAUGUGCAAGUCCACAGAAAAAGAAAAUUGAGCACAUGAAAGCUCAUAUAUAAAAAAAAAUGCUAGCCAUGUCUCAAUACAUAGAGAGUCUAUCAAAUAAAGGAGCAACCUAGUCCACCAUAUAUCACACUUGCACAUCUUGAUCUGGGAGUAUGACACUUCUCUUCAAGGAUCCGAGCUUUGCCUUCGCAAUACAUGCAAAGUAAGUAUGCUAUCUCCUUUCAUCCCUACCUUGAACUCCACAUAAGCCUUUUAGAAAUAGGAUGAAAUAGAGAAGGCAACUCUUACCAUAUGCCUUGGUGAGGAAUCAUACACCAUUUGAGUGACAUGAGAGAACCAUAAGAGGAACAUUUAAGCUUUCUUUUGAAAAUAUCACAAAACCUCUGAUAUGAAACUUGCUAAGAAUGAGAAAGUUAGUGCUCAAGUCAAACUGUUCUGUCUCUCAACCACCUAAGACAAAGGAAAAGCCAUAAGCCCCGUAAGGGACUAAGGUAAUAGGGGUAAGUUUACAUAGCUAAAUCUUUCAUGCAAAGAGAAGAACUUUGUUGUACACAUGGUACUCUUGAAAUGUGAACAUAGUAACAAUACCUGAUCCACC